rnacentral:rRNA from 1 species
UGGGGAAUAUUGGACAAUGGGCGAAAGCCUGAUCCAGCGACGCCGCGUGGGUGAAGAAGGCCUUCGGGUUGUAAAGCCCUUUAAGCCGGGACGAAAAAGCUACACCUAAUACGUGUGGCCUUGACGGUACCGGAAGAAUAAGCACCGGCUAACUCUGUGCCAGCCGCCGCGGUAAUACAGAGGGUGCAAGCGUUAAUCGGAUUUACUGGGCGUAAAGCGUGUGUAGGUGGCUAGCUAAGUCGGUUGUGAAAGCCCUGGGCUCAACCUGGGAAUUGCAGUCGAUACUGGCAAGCUCGAGUUCGGUAGAGGGCGGCGGAAUUCCCGGUGUAGCGGUGAAAUGCGUAGAUAUCGGGAGGAACAUCGAUGGCGAAAGCAACCGCCUGGGCCUGAACUGACACUGAGACACGAAAGCGUGGGGAGCAA